AGGAGAGACCAGCGGGCGGUAGCUGCGGCGAGUGGCCUCUCCGUGCGGCACAGAGGCAAGAAGCAGCCAUCCAUCCAGAAGCAGCCUCCGUGUUCCGUUUGUCCGGAUGUCAUCGUAGGUGGCCGGCAUCUCUGGCUUUGGGCUUCUCCCCUGGGGGCGGGUGGGUGCUCCACCCUCCCGCCCACUCUCUGAGGACAUGAGGAACAUGGUAUCCAGCACCACGGACAGCUCCCAGCGGUUCCUUGAAUGCUUGGUUUAUGUGCCUGGCUGGAGGAGACACCCAUGGCCUUGCAGAGGGAGCGUUCUGGUGGGAAAGCAGACACAACCCACCCUAGGCCCGUGGUUUCCCUGCAAGAAGCCCAGUGGCUUUCUGGAGGACACUUUUCCUGGAGGAAGUGACUCAAGAGCAGCAUAAGCCAGGCUCUAUGGAAUGUUGGGUGAGCUGCUUGAGGAACUCCAAGGCCUGUCCCACAGUCUUCCAGCCUCCGACUCUCCGGCCCUCAGCGAGGAAGUCCCACUGGUUUUUUUGGUUGGUUUUUUUUUUUUUUUUUAAGGUUUUUUGGUUUUUUUUUUUUUUUCUCAUUCCUGUCUUGGGAGCUUUCCCCAACCAGGAGAGUGAAGAUGGGCGGAGCUGUCACACCAACUGUUAGCCUGCCUUGGCUGAGAGGAGAGGAGGCGAGGAGGGAGCGACCACCCAGCUUUAGUCGUUUUAAAACAGCUCCUGACCCUAGAAGAAGGGAAAUGGAGAUGAAGACCCAAUUGACUUGAGAGAGUGAUCUUUCAGCAGACUGAUCGAACACACAGGCUUCUCAGCCCACUCCCUCCAGUCAAGGUUAAGGCCUGGCAAAGGUGGAGGAAGAGAAGCUGAGGAGAAAAAGGCGAGGAGAGCCUAGGCACAGGAAGGUGACCGCUUCCCUCCCUCCCAGUGCUGAUUUCCUGUGGACCAGAUUCCAGCACAGUGGAGGGCCAGAGCUCAGGGAACAGACCCAGCAGCACAGCAAGUCUCCAAGGAAAGCUCUAGCAGUCUCCAGGGGCUGAAGGCAGGACUGGGGAAGCGGCUAGCCAGGCUGCAGAAGGCAAAUGCUCCCAGACGGCUGUCCAGCACGCAUCCGCCUUCCUAGCCAAGUUUCCUGGGCUCCUGCCACAGAUCUAAGCCUCAUCCUGACAUCCUGCCCUCUGUGCUCUGGGAUGGCCCAGGGGAGAUGCUUAGCCUUGGCUCCUUGUCUGCUGGUGGAGGGGACACACACCCUUUCUGGACCACAGACCAAAAAGAAGACCUGACGUCAUCCUGAGCACCCCCGCCAUGCAGAGUGUGUUCGCAGACUGCCAACGGGCUGGCUCCGGCCAGCAGAAGUGAACAGAGGUGGAGGUUCAGCCUGACAGCUUCUCCCCAAAGCCAUGGAGAGAAAACCUUACCACCCCCACCGCCCAGCUACUUCCAGCAAGUUGUCCAGCCUGACCCCUCUAUUUCCCCUGUUGUCUCUUAUCUGGGUCCCUGAGACCCACCCCAUCUCCAAUAAAGAACAUUGCAUACUGUG
rnacentral:lncRNA from 1 species